AGUCGAACGGCAGCACGGGAGCAAUCCUGGUGGCGAGUGGCGAACUGGUGAGUAAUAUAUCGGAACGUGCCCAAUCGUGGGGGAUAACGCAGCGAAAGCUGUGCUAAUACCGCAUACGAUCUACGGAUGAAAGCGGGGGACUCAGCAAUGAGCCUCGCGCGAAUGGAGCGGCCGAUAUCAGAUUAGCUAGUUGGUGGGGUAAAGGCUCACCAAGGCGACGAUCUGUAGCUGGUCUGAGAGGACGACCAGCCACACUGGAACUGAGACACGGUCCAGACUCCUACGGGAGGCAGCAGUGGGGAAUAUUGGACAAUGGGCGAAAGCCUGAUCCAGCCAUGCCGCGUGUGUGAAGAAGGUCUUCGGAUUGUAAAGCACUUUAAGUUGGGAGGAAGGGCAGUUACCUAAUACGUGAUUGUUUUGACGUUACCGACAGAAUAAGCACCGGCUAACUCCGUGCCAGCAGCCGCGGUAAU
rnacentral:rRNA from 1 species